ensembl:lncRNA
UUUUCUGUUUUUUUUUUUUUUUUUUUUUGUAAAUAGCUUCUUUAAAAUAAAGUGGUUAUCUAAUUCGUGCUCUAAGGUUGUGGUUUACAAGCAGGUUGUGGUAAUCAUGGUUCUAGCACUUUGCAAACUAAAGUACUUAAAUUGAAACUAGUUAAAGACUUAAGUAACAUUCUGUUACAUAAAGAAGUAUAAGCAAUUUAGCUACUAUAAUUUAGUCUAUCUGCUUAGUUUCCUGGAAGUGCUGUGCUGGAGUGACGUAAAAACGAGUAUGUAAAGAAUGAGAUAGACUGCUGCUGCAUACAAAUAUUUACUUUAGAAUGUUGUCAUUUAUACGGCAAAUAUAAAUCUGCACUUUAAAAAUGAAAAAAUACUAUUUACCUGUCAUGAGAAUGUAUAUGUUUUUGGUUAUACUACUGGAGAUUAAAGACUUCUCCAGGACAGUAUACUUGUUAGAAAACUUUGUAUGCCAAAUGCAUAAAUCAAAGUAAUUUGUUUUCAGUGUUUCAGUGUAUAGCUAUUUCACUGCAAGAGUACUAAGUCACUUCUCCAUAUUACUUUCUGUUGCAGUUUCUCGAGGACUCUUAGAAUACAGUUUAGUAAGAUACUUAAGCACAUUCAGAGCAUAGUUCUUAAUGGGAUGGAUAAUCCUACAGACAUCAUUGAGACAAGUUGUGUUCUUAACACAAGGCAUUCACAAGGUAACUGUCUGUGUCAGGGACUAUAUGAGCAAAAGGGUUUUAGUUCAAUGAACUUAGUUUAUUAAGUGCUCUCGCUCAAGUGCCCUUACACGUACUACUCUUAAAAGUGUAAUAAAAAUGGCAAUAUUACAUGGAUUAUUCUAAGUGGAGCAAUUGUGAGAGCUAGGCCUGGGUUUUUGACCUUUCCUAAUAUUUAAGGGCUGGUGGAUUCUGUAAGUAUGUUCCAAACUCACAGCUAUGAUCUCAUGAAAAUUAGAAAGCUGAAGAUAGUUGAUACAGUUGAAGAUAGUUGUUUAAUUAAGAUAGUUGAAUCCAAUUUACUAUGCGGGGGAGGGGAGAAAUGCGGUAUGACAUUUGUUGUUGAUUCUGUGAUAACACCUAUUCUUUACACUCUACUUAAACAUUAAUGAAAUCAGCCACCUAAGUUGUAUGUAUUUCAAGCCUUGUUUAAAUGAUAUUAUAUAGUGAGACAAUAAAUUUUUAUAUGCAAUUAUUUGUGCUGUGAUUUUAAUGAUGUUGCUUCAGAAGUGCGUUAUGUUGCUGGUUUGUUGCUUGUCACUGAC